GUCGGCGAUUCAACUUAUGGCCUUUUUGAACCAAGCCGUGGACAGCACUCUUAGCUAGCAGAAUAACCCACAAUCGGCGACUCACUAGGUGGAGUCGGCGAUUGCCUGUGUGAAUCGGAGAUUCCUUGACACAAAGUCAGCGACUCACCCUAAGGGAAUCGAGCUGAACUUUGCGAAGAAAAUUUCGCGAUUACGACGGGAUAUCGUGGUUCGAUAGUCCCACAGAC
rnacentral:lncRNA from 1 species